AGCAUUCUUGUAGGGGCAUACACAGAAC
rnacentral:piRNA from 1 species